rnacentral:sRNA from 1 species
CUGUAUAAAAUACAUAUGCCACAUUGCGUAAAAUAUAUAUUAUAUUAACGCAUAUGACGGUUCCGUGAUAUAUAUAUAUAUAUAUAUAUAUAUAUAUAUAUGAUUGCGGUCUGUUUAAAUAUUGUCUAACGACACACGUUGAUUAUAAUUUAUAUAUCAUACGACAAUGUUAGAGAUUAUUAUAAUAUUUGUCGAACGAUCGACGGUGUUACCGCUGAUGCGUCGUUAUACGGCGUAAGGCGGGACGCUUUCGACUCAUCGAGUUAGUAGUAGUUAGUGAGCGAGUGUUGUGUAAAACAAUAUCUCGCACAACAACAUACAUACAUAUACGACGAGAGGGUUGAUGGCGUGUGCAUGCCGAUUAAACAUGUUCAACACCGUUUCGAAUGUCGCGAGACACAUAAAUAUUAUUAAUCUCACUAAUAUAACAAUAUUGACGUAUAUACCACAAAGAUAUAUAAAGUCUCAAAUCAUCGACAGUAGGCGGACUCGACGUCCGAAGAAGCGCAUCGACGCCGUCGUCGUUAUCGAUCGUUAUUAUUUAAAAAAAAAAUGUAACGUGUCGUAGCGGUUGCGUCGUCGUAACGCUGACGGAUAUCGCGUCUGCCUCAUUUUUUUAUCGUUGGCCUCAGAUCAGGGAGGAUCACCCGCCGAAUUUAAGCAUAUUAGUAAGCGGAGGAAAAGAAACUAACUAGGAUUUCCUUAGUAGCGGCGAGCGAACAGGAAAGAAGCCCAGCACUGAAUCCCGCCGUCGUUCAGGCGGCGGGAGAUGUGGUGUUCGGGAGGUUCCGCUUUCUCGUCGCGAUCGCUCCUGUCCAAGUUCGUCUUGAACGGGGCCGUUUUCCCGUAGAGGGUGCCAGGCCCGUAGCGACGGUGGAUCGCGGCGAGAGGGACUCUCCUUAGAGUCGGGUUGCUUGAGAGUGCAGCCCUAAGUGGGUGGUAA